GCCGAUGUGGCGGAACUGGCAGACGCACCAGACUCAAAAUCUGGCGGGAAACCAUGUGGGUUCGAGUCCCACCAUCGGUACCA
rnacentral:tRNA from 3 species